UUAAACCGGUUUCUCUGAGUCGGUAAUAACAUGAGGCCAUUCUGUAUAAGAAAUCAAAAAGGGCGACGGAUCUCAAAAUCCGCGAGAUUCAAAAACCCUAGGCUGUAGAACAAGAAUCAAAGAAGAAUCGGUGAAAGGUACUAGAAAACCUCAAAACCCUAAUUGGCAUCCCUCAUUCGCAUCUAGUAGCCGCAAUUUUAUUGGAAAAGGGAAUAAUGAUGGAGAAUUUGAGUUCAGAUUUGGUAUUAGAAAUACGUAAUCGAUUACCAAUCAAAUCCUUCUUGCAAUGCAAAGUCUGGCGAAAUUUAUUGGGGAAAUCAAAGACAGGUAUGCUUUUCACUAAGAAACCUAUAUAUUACUAUGAUGAUUGUAAACUCCAUUAUAUAGAACAAUUUUCUGAGAUGUUAGUAAAUUCAAAUUGUACCAAGGAACAACCACAAAAUUUUCUCAAGAUUGUUACAGAGAUAGGCAGUGUAUUUACUGGUAUUUAUCUCUUCAACUUGAUUGGUUCUUGCAAUGGUUUGGUAUGUUAUGAUACUUGGGAGCCCAAAUUCGGUGUUGUUAUCUACAUUUUCAAUACCAUCACUAGUGAACGUGUCCGUUUUCCUCCUGAGAAGCCUACAAUUUUCCUCUUCAGUCUUUUGUUUGUGCUGGAUUCGGUUAUUGUCAUUCCAGUGAUUCAACAGAUUAUAAAUUGGUUAAGAUUUUCUACCUUGGCAAGCGACACAUCCAAGUUUGCACUCUUGGUGAUGGCAACGGGUGGAGAGACAAACCAGAAAUUAGCUAUAAGUUCUCGAAAUCGGGCAUUUUUAGCUAAUGGGGCUCUGCAUAUGAAAGUGUGAUAUUGUAGCCUUUGAUUUAGCAUAUGAAACAUUUCAACAUCUUCCGUCACCAGUUCGUCAUUUUCCUUCCAAUUCCUCUAUUAGUGUUACGCUUGAAGGGGAUCUUUGUUUGUGUCUUCCUGACAUAAAGCAAGGAGAACCUAUGAUGAAUGUAUGGGUAUUCAAGAAGAAAAAUAUCAACAACUGCCGACGUAGUACUCGCUUGAAAGCACGUAGCUACAUUAACUCUUUUACUUGGAUCAAGGUGUUCAGCAAUAAAUUGGAUUCAGGCUCAAAGUGCCAGCUAUUAUCCCUUACAGCGACUGAAAUUAUACUAUGGCAAAAUGGCGUUAUCUCUUGUUAUGACCUUAAACCUAUAACUUCAACGAAACUAUGGUGUACUGAAGGUGCAAAUGGGUAUGUUCAAGCAACUCCUCAUAUGCAUAGCCUUAUUUCGUUGAAAGAUCUUGGAGAAAAGCUAGGUGAUGUUAACAAUUGCAUUUUUCUUAAUUGAAGAAUAAGUGUCCCCAUUGGAGUCAAAAAGUCUAUAACAAUGAAACUAUCUUUCAUAGUAUAGAUAUUCUUUCUUAUUUCUAGUCAAAAAAAAAUUUGUUUCUUUAGAAAGAGGCAUUGAGUAGGCCCGUUAAAUCCUUUCGAACUUGUCCAUACCUAUUUGAGGUUCCUAUUGACCUGCCAAGGUUCUUUAUCUGAAUUGGAUUAUGGGCUUGGCUUUAAUUUCGGUUUCUUUUUAUUUAAAUUUGGUUCCUCUAGUUCUACUUCACUGUGUGGUUAGAGAGAUAUACUCUAAAUUUGAUGUUGUUUGGUUGCACUUUAUGCUUUGAUAUUGAUAUCUUUAACAGUGCCUAGGUUGCAUUUUUUUCUUUAUAACUUCAAAAACACAUUAUAUCAGUUUGAAUGAGAAAUUACCAAAAGGACGAAGAAACUCAAAAUCAUGUCAACUUCGAUAGUAAUUGCUUUGCUGCAUUAGUGUUUUGUAAUCUGAAUUCACUGUAAUGUGAUGAGGCAGAGUUACAUCGACAAAUAGAUCUCGAGGAUGUAAUUGCAGAAAGUCUCAUAUGGAUGAUGAGUAUGUAAAUGCUAAUCAAAGGGAUCCAACGAUUUUGAUUACCAUCUCUGUAGCUUCUCCUCCUGUAAUUCUUGGCAACUUCUGUAGCAGGGUUUGAUUUUGUUCGUGGAUAUUCAGGCGUCAUGUCUAUGACAAACCUGGGGGUCCCAAAUCAAUCAAAUUGUAGGAAGUUGGCCAACGUUUUGAAUGAAGGCUUUACCAGGCUUAGAGAUUAUCAAUGUUUUGCUCAAAUCAAAUUAGGAGCAGUUGAUCAGAAUGAAGCCCCGACAGAGUUUGUCAUGUGGCCAUAGAUACCCAGAAACAAAAGAUUCUUGGAGAAUGAGAUGAUUGAAGGACAACCUGAAUGUUACAAGCUAGUGACUAGGAAGGUUGUCUUUGAUUGCCAAAGAGUGCAACUGGUGUGUUCCAAAUUUUGAUGUGAUUGAGUAUCCUGGGAAAUCCCGGAAAGUCUAGUUUUGGUCUGUCCCGCCUCAUACAGAUGUGGGGCCCCUUGACCUGUGGUUUUUUCUGUCAUGUGGGUACUACUUAUGUGGAAAAGGAAAAAGA